rnacentral:rRNA from 1 species
GUCCACGCCGUAAACGAUGGAUACUUGGUGUUGGAGGUAUUGACCCCUUCAGUGCCGAAGCUAACGCGUUAAGUAUCCCGCCUGGGAAGUACGGUCGCAAGAUUAAAACUCAAAGAAAUUGACGGGGGCCCGCACAAGCAGUGGAGCAUGUGGUUCAAUUCGAUGCAACGCGAAGAACCUUACCUGGGUUUGACAUGUACUGGAAGACUACCAGAGAUGGUGUCGCCUUCGGGCCGGUACACAGGUGCUGCAUGGCUGUCGU